GUGCAGCCGGCGGCAGCCGCGCCUGCGUACUGUGAGCGAGGAGGGGGGUGCCUGCCUCUCUCUCUAACGGUGCUAAGGUUCAAUUCCCUUGACAUUACCCAAUCAAAGGCACACUCAGCCUGCGGGGCUUCGCUUCGCAUUAGGAUUGCGGGGCACGAGAACCGCAGCAAAGCAACUCGACCUCGGGCGCCUUUACUCAGAGGCGACAUCAGGCUGCCAUCCUGUCGACAUUUCUCCGGGGAGUAAAACCCAAACGAACUCUCAGCAGUGCCUACUUCUGAGGAAACAGACAUGCACAACCUUGUGUGCCGCAGAAAUCACCCUAGGUCUGCCUGUCAAUCAAUGGCUGAGGUCUCCUGCGCAUCGACUUGGAAGUGAGCCCCACUAAAUUCAGCAGGGCAACUUUAGAAGUGUGCACUGCACAAGUUUCACUGCUCCCCAUAGAACAGCAUGCGUGGUUUUUUCCAAUGUCUCUUGUUACUUGAUCUCGCCCACCAAAGUUAAUAGUGUGUGAAUUCAAAAAGGGCACUUUGAAGCAAUGCGUUUAACUCGCAACAACCCAGAGUUAGAACAAAGUGCCAAAAGGGUGAUUAAGGAAGGGAGAAAUGUUUUCAUUUAAAACAUAAUCUGUGAUAUUAAUGUUGCUUUCUUGGAGUUAAGAAUCCAUCAUAACGAGUAAUCAGUUUACUGUGAGAUACAGUUGAUACCACAGAUGUUGACCAUUAGAUGUCAAAGAGUGCCAUUUUCACAUUUCAAUGUAUUACUGUGUCCUAGACCAAAACCAGGUAAGUGAAGCACUGGGCUCUGGGGAGGAGGCACAAGGGCUCUGACAGGGUCCUAAAGUGCUCACAGCUCCUUCUCAAAGCCUAGUUUGCAUUUUCCCAGCUUUGGGAAGGAGGUAGGAGGGCUCUUGAGACCCUGCCAGACCCUUGUGCCUCCAUCCCAAAGCCUGGCACCCAGCUUAGCCAGCUUUGGGAAGGCAGAGCAA